UUCGUAGGGAACCUGCGGAAGGAUCAUUAUCGUACAAAAUGUGAGGGGCAUGCAAGGGCUGUCGCUGACUCUAUAAAGUCGUGCACGCCCGAGUGUGUCCUCUCACAUAAUAAUCCAUCUCACCCUUUGUGCAUCACCGCGUGGGGCACCCUUUGGGAUCAUCUCGGAGGGGGCUCGCGUUUUCACACAAACCCCCCCUUUUUAAAAGUGUAGAAUGACCUCAUUUAUGCGCUAACCCGCAAUCAAUACAACUUUCAACAACGGAUCUCUUGGCUCUCGCAUCGAUGAAGAACGCAGCGAAAUGCGAUACGUAAUGUGAAUUGCAGAAUUCAGUGAAUCAUCGAAUCUUUGAACGCACCUUGCGCCCCUUGGUAUUCCGAGGGGCACACCCGUUUGAGUGUCGUGAAAACCUCAACCUCCUUGGUUUCUUCUGGAGACCAAAGCAGGCUUGGACUUUUGGAGGCCUUUGCUGGCACCUCUCUUUUGAAGGCCAGCUCCUCUUAAACAAAUUAGCAGGGUCCUCUUUGCCGAUCCUCGACGUGUGAUAAGAUGUUUCCAUGUCUUGGUUUCUGGCUCUGUCACCUUUUGGGACCCGCUUCUAACCGUCUUGACCUUGCGUCGAGACAACGUUCGAGCAUGUCUCCCUUUCUCCGGGAGGCUCCCUUGACCCCACGAACCCUUGACCUC
rnacentral:rRNA from 1 species